GUGCCGAAACCAUGCUCUUAGGUGCUGUUUCAAAUUAACGCUUGGAGUAACCAUGUAUUCCUGGUGUACCAGUUACUUAAACUUAAGUCUGCCUGAAUCUUGUAAUAAGACUUUGUGUUGCUGAGUGUUAGGUCAGCAUGGGAUUCCAAAGCCAAGCAGAAUUACUUGACAGAAUGGCCCUUGCAUAGAUUCAUAUCCUGGUUUUGAGCUCUUCUCUGAUUCACACAUUAAACACAAAUAGUUGCAUCCUGUCUUGCCUACUGUAAUCACACAGAAACAUGGGUUUCAAUGCCAGCGGACAUAUAUUUAAAGCUUGCAUUGGAAAUUUAUUUCUGCACUUCACCUGGGAAACAAAAAAAGCCAUAAAGAGAAAUAAAGACCUUUAUAACAUUUGAUGAAGAUUCACAGAAGCCACAAAGGAACAAGUACUGCACAAAAGGAAAAAAAUAUUUGCAACAAAGCCACAAGCAUAUGCAAAACUGAAGUCUAAUUACCUCCAGGAAUUUCAGCGUCCAAACACUGUAUUAUCCAUUGAACACAUUUUGUCUUGUGGGCACUGAAUUUAUUUCCAGUGUUGGAAAUACUUCCCCAGCUGUCUCUUGGCAGUCUGGUUUUACUGCUAAAGUUACAUCGGCUGCGGUGACCUGCAAGUGAGAGGCACUUCUUGUUGGUGCAGAGGGUGAUGGAAAUGGAAGGUGCACUGGUCUUUGAUGACAGGACCUGCAGCCCUCUUGGCCAACCCCAGCAGGUAGGGUAGGUUCUUCCCCCAUGCUGCUGUACUCUUUUAUCCUACCAGCAUGGAAAAACAAUUACUCUAAUUGGGCACUUUUAAACAAAAGGAUGGCAAAGCUAAACUUUGUCACAACAGAGGCAACGGUGUGGGCCCUGGGGAGCAUCCAUCUCUGCAAACUCAAGGAGAAGCCCAGGUGAGUGUAACUGAGGCACUCAACCAUGAGGAAGCUGAUACUAAGUAAGAGGAAAUCCAUCUUCAAUUACUGUGUGCUACAAGAUCCUAAAGCCCUGCUUGCUUGACCCCUACUGUGGAGGCAUGUGUCCUCCAAUGUGCUUAAAUGAUUGCUACAUCCAGUGGGCAUCUGCAGAGGAAAUGAACAUGCCAACUGCUCUGGGGUCCACAGGAAAUUUAGGGAGAAAUUGGGUUAGCUGCUGCUGCCUCCUUGUAAAUGGCAAAGUAUGAUAAAUGCUCCAUGCCCUGCUUUUGCAUAAAAGCCCAGCAUGAGAACGCUUACCCAGGGAGUGGGAAAUAUGCACUCCUCUGCCUGAGACAACUCCAACUCACAUCUCCUACAGCAGUGAGGUAGCCGCCAAGCCCAGACUGGUCCCAGUGGUGCAUUAGUCACGUCUGAAGGUUUCCCUCAGGGAACUAAUGGGGAAGUUUAUCUGAUUUCUGAAUCUAGCUAGGUCAGGGCACGGUUGAGAGACAUAACUCCGUGUGAAAGUGAGGCAGAGAGGCAGUGCUGAUGGAUUUGAGCAAGGCAGAAGCUGUGAAAUUGUUUUGAGCCUCAUGCUGCUGGAUUCAAGCAUCUCAUUUUCACCAAAGGGCCGCUUCAGAUGCCCAGAUCCCAACAAAGUCUGUGUAUUCAUGUUUUUCUGUGCCAUGGCAAGAUUCAUUACAGCGAUACCAUGGUAGUGCACUCAUCCUGGUGUCAGGAACCCCAGUAAUUAAACAAAAAAAUUAUUUUAUCCUCCAGAUGACCAGGAAGGACUUCAAAGGCCUUCUAUGAAGAUGACUAUCUGAAAUGCAUCCAUCUAGACUUGGCUUCUUUCUAUUCAUUAUGCCUUCUGCUAGGCAGCUUCACCCCACCAGGUAAACCUCACGUGUCUUCCUUCUGUGUCCUUCCAUCAUUACCAUUACCAGACACUUCCAGGUACACUGUAACAAAUUAGACAGCACCAUAUCCAGGAACAAUUACUCAUAACCAAGGGUUACUCUGGCGAAGCUGCUUUUCCAUUGUCAGCUAUCUAUGUAGGUAUUUUCUCAGUGUUUAAAAGUGUCAUACAAGGUCAGGGCCUCGCUGAUGUCUGGAUUUACCAAACCCAAUGUCUUUGAGAGAUUUUGACUGUGCCCAAAAUAGAAGACAAAGGCACUGUGGCAAUUGAUCCAACACCCAUCUGUUCAGAGCCAGUGAUUUGAAACUCCUUGUUCUCUUUCUCCCAAAAUUUGAGGAAGGCUGGAAGUGACUUUGUGCUCAUUUCUGUUGAAAACAAGGAAUUGAGGAAUGUGUUGGCACAAGGGAAGGUUUCACAUAUUCACAGUAGCCCGCAGUACAAUGCAAGUUUUCUGUAAGAUAGUUCUUAUUCUGAUUUAUUAGUUUAUCAUCUGAAAAGUGAUCAGAAAGUAUAUUGGAAAAGAUAUUAGCUAAGUUACCAGAGUUUUCACUAUUCCAAAGCAUAUUUAAACUCCUCUAUUUCCAACUCAAAAGGCUGUGCUGUGCUGCCCCACCAGGCUUCAGGUGUUGGGUGGAGAUAUUCGUUCAUUAGGGAACAAAAGCAUGGGAAAAGAUUACCUCUGGAUUUCAUUUGAUGUUAUGUGGAGAUUUUUGGCUUCUUCCUCUCCCCGGAGGCACAGACCCAGGGAAAACAAUGUCCAGGAAAGGAAAACAAGGAAGAAAGCACAGAGAAUUACUUAGCUAAUGAAGAGGAAUGGCUGACUUGUCCUGCAAGAGGGCAGUUAGCAGGGACACAUCCCCUCUGGGCUCACCCAGUGAAGAACAGACACCAACACAGACCACUAAAAGGUGAGCAUCAGUGGAGUGACGCUGCAGUUUCUCCAGCUGUGUUUUGUGAGCAUAAUCGAGAUUUCUGUAGUGCCAGUGCUCACAAAACAUCAAAUGGCUCUGACUAUCCAUCUGGAACCGAAACCAUUACAUCCUCCCUGUAUGGCUCUUAGGGGCAGCACAGAACUCAGGACGCAGAUUUGUAUGAUAUAGCGAGGAGAACCAAUCAGAAAAAUGAUGUUAGUGCUGCAUCCUGUCUGAUAAAAGAGCCCAGCAAACAUCCAAAGCACCAUGAUGGUACCGCUGUCUGUCCUCCCUCCCUCCCCACUUCCCUGUCCAUCCUUUCCUAUCCUGACAUUUUGAGACAAGGCACUGAAUGAUCCCUUUUCAAAUGUUACUUUUUCUCCCUGAAUUAUUAUGUUUUUACAGUACGGCAAUUUUAUAAUUAAGAUUAAAUACUUUGUGUAAUUGUUUUGGCUUUUUUUUCCCCCUCUCAAACAAAAUGGAACCAAGGUUCAAAUCCAGAAAUGCUGUGAAAGGGGAUUUCUAUUCUCCGUGUAGAUGAAUGUAACUAUGAUCAGAGGAAAUAAAACUUAGAGCAAAAAUGCUCUGGAUAUAUAGAUUUUUCACCAUAAAUCAUUUGCAUAAAUAAAGGUAAGUUGAUUGUAAUCACUUGAGUAUUUCCUGUAGCUGAAGUUUUACUCUAUUUAUCUUUAUUUCUGCUGUAGUUUCAUCAGCACAAAAAAAUCAAGGAAGCAGUAAUAAAGAAAAAAACAGCACAAAAAAUACCCACAAAAAAAAAAAGAGCAACAGUAGAUCCAGCCGCUUAGCAGUGGGUGCUUUAUUUUCUCCAUAAUAUUUUCAGAGUGUUUGGGGGAGUAAUUUCAAACAGUCAAGUCAGAGUCCAUUGAGAAUUGAUUUUUGUGACCUCACAUAGUGUAACAGAAAAUUAUAACAGGAAAUAAACCAUUAAGUGAUAAACAAGGAAACAUGGAUACAAUUACUUUCAGAACAUAAUUUUAUUCACUCUAGUUUUGAAAAUGAAGAGAUAGUACUGACUGGAACACCUCAAUUCUGAAUGCAAACUGUACAAUCUAUUAUAUUAAACAAAGUCAAAAGCAAUGUGAAAGAUCUUGAAUCUAUUCAAGGCAUGCACCUCAUUACAGACUUAGCAAAUUAAAACACAAAUAGGAUUAGAAAAGAAUAAUGUAACAAUCUCCCACCAUGGUCCCUGGAGCAUUAAGUCAUAAAUUGGGUUUGCAUUAAAUUGUGCCUGCAGUAUUGAAUUCAGGGAAAGAGCUAUAGGCUGAAGAUAAACCUCGCUAGGCUGGCCAACUUUGGUAUGGCUGUGUGAUUUCAUAAAAACACAAUGAAUCUGUUGGAAUCUAAAAAGGCACAUUCAACAACAUGUAUUUCAUAUCUUAAUUAGAAAACGCAGAUAUGGGGUAGCAAUCUCUGGCUGCAAGAGGUAUAAACCCAGCCAAAAGCUGCAGACAUUUGAAACUGUCACUUCACCUGGAGGUGUUGUUUAAAUAAGGUAAUUCAGCACUUCGUGGCAUCACCUGCUGUGUUAAACUACACAAGUUUCCUGCUUUGCACAAAGCUCUAGUGUGCCCUGAGCUUCUUUUAGCUGGAAGAAACAAUCUUACCCCAAAAGAGCUGAGAGAAGCUGAGUUUCUGAUACAAAUGCAUUCUGUUGUUAUGGGAACUAAAAUGGUGAGCGAUGUGAAAAGGAUCCUUCGCUAACAAAGACCGGCUUGAUGAUAUUAUGGCAGCAGCUAUGCAAAAAGCAAAUAUAUCUGCAAGAAACAAACAGAGCUUCUCCAAAGAAGACGCAGGUUCCUG
ensembl:lncRNA